UACGUAGGUGGCAAGCGUUGUUCGGAAUUAUUGGGCGUAAAGGGCGCGUAGGCGGUUUGUUAAGUCAGCUGUGAAAGCCCGGGGCUCAACCCCGGAGAGUCGACUGAUACUGGCAAACUAGAGUACGGAAGAGGUAGCUGGAAUUCCCGGUGUAGCGGUGAAAUGCGUAGAUAGUCGGGAGGAACACCUGCGGUGUAGACGGCUUACUGGACCAUCACUGACGCUGAGGCACGAAAGCGUGGGUAGCAACAGG
rnacentral:rRNA from 1 species